UUCGUAACUUGUUUAUGGUCCGUGAUUCGUGCAUGGCGAGUUUGUAUCAAAGAAUAUCUAUACAUAGACAUACAUAGAAUACAUAGACGUUCUUUGCUUGUACUGCCUUGUUUCGUAAGUUGAGUGCAUUAGAUGUAGACUGAUUUUGACAAAAUGUCAGAAUAUGCAUCUGUGACAAAGACUCCUCUGAAACUGAAAACAGAUUCUGGAAUAAAGAAAAAAAAGAAAAACAAGGAUAAAAAACAAAUACUGGACAAAAUUGCAAAAGUUGAAAAAACUACUGGUGCCGAAAAUAUUGAAAAGAAGAAAAACGAAUCUGUGCCUUUGACAAAAGCAGAGAGAGCAUUUAUGCUGAUGAAAGAAAAGAAGGUAAAUUUUCUUCAAC